UUAAUGGAGAGUUUGAUCCUGGCUCAGGACGAACGCUGGCGGCGUGCCUAAUACAUGCAAGUCGAGCGAGGGUCUUCGGACCCUAGCGGCGGACGGGUGAGUAACACGUAGGCAACCUGCCUGUAAGACUGGGAUAACAUAGGGAAACUUAUGCUAAUACCGGAUAGAGUUUUGCUUCGCAUGAAGCGAAACGGAAAGAUGGCGCAAGCUAUCACUUGCAGAUGGGCCUGCGGCGCAUUAGCUAGUUGGUGAGGUAAAGGCUCACCAAGGCGACGAUGCGUAGCCGACCUGAGAGGGUGACCGGCCACACUGGGACUGAGACACGGCCCAGACUCCUACGGGAGGCAGCAGUAGGGAAUUUUCCACAAUGGACGAAAGUCUGAUGGAGCAACGCCGCGUGAACGAUGAAGGCUUUCGGGUCGUAAAGUUCUGUUGUUAGGGAAGAAACAGUGC
rnacentral:rRNA from 1 species